rnacentral:rRNA from 1 species
UACAGAGGUCCCAAGCGUUGUUCGGAUUCACUGGGCGUAAAGGGUGCGUAGGCGGCCGGGUAAGUCUGAUGUGAAAUCUCACAGCUUAACUGUGAAACUGCAUUGGAUACUAUCCGGCUCGAGGAAUGGAGGGGAGACUGGAAUACUUGGUGUAGCAGUGAAAUGCGUAGAUAUCAAGUGGAACACCAGUGGCGAAGGCGAGUCUCUGGACAUUUCCUGACGCUGAGGCGCGAAAGCGUGGGGAGCAAACAGG